rnacentral:lncRNA from 1 species
AUACGUUUGUUCUCGACUCUUGUUGAUAGGGGCUCAUUUUCCAUAUAUUUUAUCGCUUGACUUAGCUUUUAAGGGCGUUACUGAAAGCCCGAAUUAAGAACAAUCAAAAGGGCCUACGCUUGGUUGAUCGUUUCUAUGAUUUUUUGGCAAAAGAAAGAAGGAUCACUUUGAUAUCUUGUUUUGGAGAAAUAAGUGGAUCACGAGGAAUCCGUUCAAUAGAAUGAAUCACACUCGUGAAGGGACUAAUCUCAGCUCGUUUGAUUUUGCAUACAAUUCUCGUUAAGGGACAAAUCCUGUUUCCUCCCGACUUCUCCGACUUGAUAUGAAGUUUUACUCUGUUUGUUUUUCGUUGUACACUCGCUAAAUUGUUAUCUGUUGCUAACUGAUCAGUGCCAUCUGCUUGAGUAAAUUUGUUGAACACAUUGGGCAUUACUCUUUUCCUUUUCAUGCAUUGACAUGGCCAGCAAGGAUAUUUUAUCAGAUGUUGUCUGAAUACGUGUCUAAAUUGGUAUAGAAUUUUUAGGCAACUUUUCUUUUAUUGCGCUGAACAAAUUAUAGGGAAGGAAAGAGUUUGAAGAAAGCCAAAACUGUUCCGUAUCCUUUUAGAGGCUGGGGCUGGCACUUUGUAUUGGGAAUGUUGUCUUGUGGUCCUCUUGUUACAAUCAGUCACUUUAGUUGGGAUUAUUUAUUGGACAAAUUGUUGUCAAACGACCUCCCGAGUUAUGAAGUAACUCGGUAUGUUUUCUCAACUGACAUCGACCAAAUGGCUAGAUGAAAAGUCAACACCUCAAUAAAGACAACUCGGCCCCAAAACCAAUUGGGCCAUUAGAAGCAGUCUUAUUUAUUUGGUACUGCUCAUAGCCCAAACCUUUUACUUGGUUUUCAAGUGUGUGUGUUGCUAAUCUCUUUUCUUCUCUGCGUGACCGUCUGCCUUUAUGGCUUCUUGUACUUUCUUCUCUCUCUCUCCCUUCACCUUCGUGGCUGGAUUUGUGACUGUGCUCACACCUUUGUUUGUAUACUUUGUGGGCAAGCCAUAGCAAUUGGAGGGAAGUGUUGUUCGAAGGAGUUUUGGUUUGGAUGUGUUUUGUUGAGGUUGUCGAUUGGAGUUUAAAAUUGAGCCUGGAGCAACCUUUGGUGACAAAUCUUCUACUACAUUAUUAGAGUUCAUCUCAAGGCUUUGAAAAAGUGGAGCUGUUUUUUAGAUUUAAAAGCUACUAUUGAACACAUUUUGAUAAUUUUUUAGAAGGUUUUUGUAUGGUUAAAAGGGCUUUUCUCUUCCAACUUCAGGACCGACCCUGAUAAUUAUGAGCCUUAGACGACGAUUAUGAGGUCCUUAACAUAGAAUGUGAGGUUGAAUGUGAGGUUCAAUUCCAACUCAAUGCAAAGAAGUCUCCACCAGCUUGUCAAAAUGAUGUCUUUGAUUUGCAAAAUAUUUUAGCCCCUGCAAAUGGAGAAAUGUUCAUGGACCCCGAAGCUGCCCCUCAAACCAAUGAAUUCACUCUGCAGCAACAGUUUUCCAUAACUUAUACCAUCUGUUCGUGUGAUAUUCAUAUCUAAGUCGAAGAUUUUUCAAAAGCAUCGUCUUAUAAGCAACUAAAGAUUCUAAAUCAUAAGUGGCAGAUGCCUCGAUGUGGAUAAAACAAAAUCCAAAGAUUGUGGCUUGGAAGAACCAGUUCAACAAGCUCACCAACCCCAAUCCCAAUCCAUACUGAGUCUGAACCAAAAUUCAUAUAUAACUUUAAUAUAACAUUGAUAAUGAAGUGAAUUAUUUUAAGCAUAUGCACAGUCCAUGCUUUUGUUUUCUGUGUUCUCAGUUUUCAUUAAUUUAGAUUAUUAAUUCAGUUGGCUGUGAAUUAGAUUAGUGAGGAGGAGUUCACAAGGUAUUAGAGAUUUUUUUGCCCCUUUCAACACUAUUUUUUGCAUGAAAAAAAAAAAUGUACAGACUUCUAGGUUUGCUUUGAAGCCCCCCCCCCUCUUAAAAAUUGAGACCCUAGACCAUUGUUUGGUUAGCUUUGGUCUAGGGUCAGCUCUGGUCAACUUCUUCAUAAAACUCUUUUAAAAGAAGCAUAAGCUCUACCGAAGAGGCCGUUAGUACUAUAUGCGUGUGUUUGGCCUCGAUUUUUGCUAAAUUUUUUUGCAAAAACUCAUUUUUCUACAGUAUUUGAUAGGCGACUGAUGUGCACAAGCAAGAUAGUGUCAGAAAUGGACAGAAACAAUGUCAUCCAUUGAUAUUUGAAGACUAAUUUGCCCUCAAUGAAAGAAUAAAAUUCGGGCAAAAAAUUAAAAUUAUAAUUGAAGGACAAAAAUAGAAAGACGAAAAUGCCUAAUUUCAAACAGAAGCCUGAGACGAUUUCGGCCUCAGCUUUUGUCAGGGUGGCUGUCUCAUUUUCUGACAUGGGGGCCACAAUUGUUGACAAAAGGUUGGGAAAAAUGGGAAAAAAAUGGGGGCCAAUCAAGCUCUAUAUAUUGGCAUGACUAGUAAGUUGAAUUAAAUUCUUGCCUUGUAUGAGCCCCAUUUUGGUAAGAAAAUGAUUUUGAAAUAGUAAUUUUUUAAAUAUUAUUAUUAUUUUUUAUUUUUGAGAAUGUGUGGUUAAAAAAAGAAGAAGAAUUUUCAAUUUACAUGUAAAAUUAGUUUAUGAAAGAAUGUGCGGUUAAAAAUGAGUUUUGAAAAAAAUAAAUUUUUAAAAAAAAAUGUAAUAUUCUGUUAUUGUUUUUCGUCUUGUACAACGUGUAUGCUAAACAUUGGGAAUAUUUUGUAGUGAAAAUUGGGCAGCACUUAACUAUAUUAAGUAGCUCUAUGUUGCCGUCGUCUCAAAUUCGUGGUACUUGCUGCUGUUCAUGACUAUCGUUAUUGUUAGAAUUAGAAUUCUAAUGUAAACAGAGAAAAUUUCUAAUGGAAGGUAGACUUCAUUUUCUUCAUCCAUUCUAUUCAAGUAUUGAACAGAUCUGCAUUGAAGUUCACAGAUAUUGGUACUUACUUUGAAAGCAAUUUAAUAGAUAUUUUUCAAAUUAAGUAGCUUUUUAUAAGUUAAUUGACAAUUUAUAAAUUGAGUAAAAGUGAAACAUGUUACUACUUAUUCGUAAAGACACGUGGAUCCAUUACUAUUUCUCUUAUUAUUUCUACUUGUAAUCCAUUUAUAAAUUUGUCAAAGGGCAGCAUAUUAUUUUGCUUGCGAAAUAUAACUAACGAG